GGCAUCCGGAAAAAACCCCAUCUCCUUCUCUUUCUCAAUCUGUGUACUAUCUCUUUCGCAUUGUAAUCCAUGUUUUGAAGUUCUCAAUAAAAACUCUAUUAUUAGUGAGGCUUAACAACCAUGGGCGAGGCCACGAGGAUUCAUAUAUAUGAUAAUGAACCUGAAUGUUUGCAUGCGUUUUUACUUGCUUCUGGUUGUAUAUCGUAGCAUUUCUCUUAUUUUUCUUAUUUAUGUUACUCCUUUUCAUCCUUAUAUCUGAUUAGUUGCAAUUUACUGAGAAAUUCCUUGAUUCGUUUGGCUAUAGAAGUUGAGACGUUAGUAAGAUACUAUUGUGUUCUACUCCUGUAAUCUCUUUAGUUUUGAUGAUCAUUCUCAAUUUUGCAUUUAGCAUAAUGAUGGCAGGGUGAUAAAGAAAAAAGCAAGGUGAUACUGUAGUAUUAGAAGUUUUAAACUGAAAAAUAUUAUUAAGAGUAGUGCAUUAAGUGAUCCAACUUUAGUUUGCUUCUUUUCUACAGAUUAAUAAUGCCAGAGUUGAAAGGAAGCAAUUUUUUUAACACUUUUCUGCUAGACUUUUUCCAAACAUUGUCACAAAAAGAAGGGUUUCAAUAGGUUGAAGGUUGAAGGUUGACGGGAUGAAAGAUGAUCGCCGGUGCCCAGUGGUUUUACAAACUGAAUCCAUCAUCUUUAAGAUUGUCUGCUAAUCUCCCUGCACAUAACAAUGCCCAUGAAGUCAAUCCUGCAAAUGCUGCUAAGGACAACCCAAAUGAUCAAAAUAAGAGUGAUGAAGAAUAGUGGAAAUGAUCUCACAAAUAAUUUAGAAGUAGUCUUCAAAUUAAGAAUAAACAUAUGUUUAAUAAGAGCCUUUUUUAUUUCUUUUUUCAUUGAGUGAUGAGUUUUUUUAUAUGAUAAGUUUUUUUUUAUUUGAAUGAAUAAUAAUGAAAGUCAUUUUUAUCUCAUGACACGUUACCUAUUUGCCUGAA